GACGAACGCUGGCGGCGUGCUUAACACAUGCAAGUCGAACGGAAAGGCCCUGCUUUUGUGGGGUGCUCGAGUGGCGAACGGGUGAGUAACACGUGAGUAACCUGCCCUUGACUUUGGGAUAACUUCAGGAAACUGGGGCUAAUACCGGAUAGGAGCUCCUGCUGCAUGGUGGGGGUUGGAAAGUUUCGGCGGUUGGGGAUGGACUCGCGGCUUAUCAGCUUGUUGAUGGGGUAGUGGCCUACCAAGGCUUUGACGGGUAGCCGGCCUGAGAGGGUGACCGGCCACAUUGGGACUGAGAUACGGCCCAGACUCCUACGGGAGGCAGCAGUGGGGAAUAUUGCACAAUGGGCGGAAGCCUGAUGCAGCAACGCCGCGUGCGGGAUGACGGCCUUCGGGUUGUAAACCGCUUUCGCCUGUGACGAAGCGUGAGUGACGGUAAUGGGUAAAGAAGCACCGGCUAACUACGUGCCAGCAGCCGCGGUGAUACGUAGGGUGCGAGCGUUGUCCGGAUUUAUUGGGCGUAAAGGGCUCGUAGGUGGUUGAUCGCGUCGGAAGUGUAAUCUUGGGGCUUAACCCUGAGCGUGCUUUCGAUACGGGUUGACUUGAGGAAGGUAGGGGAGAAUGGAAUUCCUGGUGGAGCGGUGGAAUGCGCAGAUAUCAGGAGGAACACCAGUGGCGAAGGCGGUUCUCUGGGCCUUUCCUGACGCUGAGGAGCGAAAGCGUGGGGAGCGAACAGGCUUAGAUACCCUGGUAGUCCACGCUGUAAACGGUGGGUACUAGGUGUGGGGUCCAUUCCACGGGUUCCGUGCCGUAGCUAACGCUUUAAGUACCCCGCCUGGGGAGUACGGCCGCAAGGCUAAAACUCAAAGGAAUUGACGGGGCCCCGCACAAGCGGCGGAGCAUGCGGAUUAAUUCGAUGCAACGCGUAGAACCUUACCUGGGUUUGACAUGGAUCGGGAGUACUCAGAGAUGGGUGUGCCUCUUUUGGGGUCGGUUCACAGGUGGUGCAUGGCUGUCGUCAGCUCGUGUCGUGAGAUGUUGGGUUAAGUCCCGCAACGAGCGCAACCCUUGUUCACUGUUGCCAGCACGUUAUGGUGGGGACUCAGUGGAGACCGCCGGGGUCAACUCGGAGGAAGGUGGGGAUGACGUCAAGUCAUCAUGCCCCUUAUGUCCAGGGCUUCACGCAUGCUACAAUGGCUGGUACAGAGAGUGGCGAGCCUGUGAGGGUGAGCGAAUCUCGGAAAGCCGGUCUCAGUUCGGAUUGGGGUCUGCAACUCGACCUCAUGAAGUCGGAGUCGCUAGUAAUCGCAGAUCAGCAACGCUGCGGUGAAUACGUUCCCGGG
rnacentral:rRNA from 1 species